UGCGCUCCCUGGGCGGUUCAGCGCAAAAAAGGAGGCGUGUUCCGGCGCAAACAAUCCCUGGUGCUAUUUUGCUGUUCCAUUAAACAAUUGCGCCACUGACCAGAAAAAACCUAGUCUAAAGUCAGUGGCGCGUUGCGCGUUGUUCAUUAUGCUAUUUUAAGGGCGCAUGCUUGACCAUAAUGUAUAGCGUGCACAACGCGCAUACACUUUGCUCAUGUAAUCUACACAGAUGCAACAGUUAUUUUUGCAAAUCAUAAAUUGUUACACUAAAAAAAAAUAUUAACACAUGAGAUGACGGAAAUCAUUGUGGUGUAUUUUGGGUGGGUUUCUCCCAUCCCCAUACAACACAACUUCUCUGUCUUUCUCUGCUCUUACAAGAACAUCAGUCUCCUCGGCUGUGAACCGCUCCUGGCGUGCGCCUGGUAAAUACGCCAUAAUAAUAGCAAUCCAUAAUGGAACUUGCGCACCUGCUUUUAAAGGGAAUGUUGGAUGACGCUCUGAUUGGUUUAUUUCACGUUACGCCCAAACCACACCUAUGAAUAAUGAAUCUACUUCAGACCAACCCAUUUUAGAUUUGAGCCGGGUGCAAGAGCCAUUUAUCCCGCCGGGAAAAUAGCAACAGUGUGCUUUAUUCUUCUUUAACAUCAUAUCUCACUCAGAAAGACAAGCGCACACACUGUAAAAAAUUAUUUAGCAGUUUAGUUGUUUCAAUGAAUUUUUUUAUGUUGACACAACUUGCAGUUACUGAAUUUGUUCAUUCAACUAAAAAUUUUAAGUUUUCAGUGUCUCAACUAGUUUGAAAGUUGACUGAACUAGGUCAUUUGUCCUCAUAACUUAAAAAAAUUUGUUGACUCAAUUCAAUAGCAAUAUCACGUUCACAACAUCACUUAUCGCGAGAUCUCGUCAUUCUCCUGAAUGCUGUUGAAGAGAGAAGAAGGUCGUCAGCCAUUCUAGUCAGUUUCUCCUCAAAGUUUGGACAUUUGACUAGAAUACAACUUUGAUUCAGCGCAGAAUUUAAUAAUCCUGUGGAUGGACCACAGCGAGUCCUUUUGCAGUUAUCCAUCAAAAAGAUAUGCAGACAUAAUGGAAAUGGCAUUUACAUUGUAGAGCUUGGACGAAGUUGUAAGUAAAUUUAUUUAUUUAUAAAUGCACAUUUAUUGGAGUCUAUAUGCUUUACGAUUGUAAGGCCCUGUUUAAUGCAUCCCUUUGUUUUUAUUAAAGCACACAGGCUCUGCACAGGAAUUGAUCAAGGACAUGACUGCUGGGAUUACGCUUGUGGAUGACCAAACUGAGCACCAUCAGUCUGCAGUCAUGUGGUCCAGCCAUCCAGUGACAUUAAGGAUGUUGAGAAAGAAAUUGAAGAGGGCAUUCUGAUUGUAACUGAGGAACAGCAAUGUGAUGUGCUUCCCAAGGAAUAACCAACAUUGGUCUCAUUUGGACAUCCUGUCAUCACUGACAUCUCCCAUGUCCCCAAGGCAUUUGGACUCUUAAUGGGUCUGUAUGCAGUGAACAGCACUACCUCCAGCGCAUUAAAUACACCAUUGAGGCUCUGUAAAAACUUGUGAAGACCAGCUGCUCCCACCAUGUGCUCGCUACAGCGGCAGGAACUGUAGGUGGGGGGAGUGAAUGUACAGCGCUCUCUCCACCCUCAACACCACAAAUAAGGUGUCCUUGAGCAAGGCACAACUUCUCCCUGGGCGCUGCAGCAUAAAUGGCUGCCCACUGCUCUGGGUGUGUGUUCACGGUGUGUGUUCACUGCUGUGUGUGUGCACUGUGGAUGGGUUAAAUGAAGAGCACAAAUGUAUGUCAUGUCACUUUCACUUUUCAGUGUUCAUGAUGUGUCCAUCGGCUCCACCGCACUCUUUCUUACAAAGUAGUGUUUUGUUUUUUUUUAUAAGGAAAGGUUCUUUUGUGCCUUUCACUAUAUAGAAUGUACAUUAAAGUUUACAUGUCAUGACUUGGAAUAUGCAUGUUCUCAUGUAAACAAAUGUUUUUUCACCUCUCAUUUUCUUAAACAGUAUGUACACAUUUUCAGUAUGUAGCAUUAUGAUGGGGGACGAGUUUGGAAACUUUCAAGAUCCUUCUGAUGUUAACACCUCUGUCUGGUCAUGUUGUGCUAUGAAAUUUAGAAUCUGACUUUAGAUCUUUGUUCUUCCAUGUGCAUUCAUUCCAUUUAUAUCUUAUUAUACAGAAGUACAGUACACUCAUUUUUUGUAACUAAUUGUGAUGUUAUAUACAUACAUCUUGGUUUCUCAUUUUGACCAUGACUUGCAUUAUGGUGGGGGGAGUGCAUGUGAACUUGUGCAGGGUUAAUAUGCAGAGUUCAACCUUCUGAUUUUCAUAUUGCAUUAUGAAAUUAAAAACAAUCCCUGUGGUUUUGAUCUGAUGAAUUGAAAUGCAACUAUAUGUUUCUCAAUCCCAUGCCAAUGUUAUUUAUUAUACAUCACACUUUCAAGUGUCGGUUCAGAUCUUUAGACGUGUUUGUAUUUUGCAUUUUUUGUUUUGUUUAUCAAUUAUCAGUUGAUGUGU